GACGUAGGAGGCGAGCGUUAUCCGGAUUCACUGGGCGUAAAGCGCAUGUAGGCGGAUGUCUAAGUCGUGUGUUAAAGCCCCUGGCUCAACUGGGGGAGGUCAUGCGAGACUGGAUGACUUGAGGGCAACAGAGGCACGUGGAACUCCCGGUGUAGCGGUGGAAUGCGUAGAGAUCGGGAAGAACACCGGUGGCGAAGGCGGUUCUCUGGGCAUGUCCUGACGCUGAGGAGCGAAAGUGUGGGGAGCGAACAGG
rnacentral:rRNA from 1 species